rnacentral:rRNA from 1 species
AUGGAGGAGGAAUCCUCCUCGACGGACGAGGAGGAGAUUGAGCCGAGCAUGUAUGGCGAGACGUCAGUGUGCGGCCGCCGGAGGGAUAUGGAGGACGCGGUGUCCGUCCGCCCCGAGUUCCCCCCGGACCACCACUUCUUCGGGGUCUUCGACGGCCAUGGCUGCUCGCAUUGCUCUGGUCCUGACACGAGGUCGGACGAUGCGGAGCGGUGGAUGGGUGUCAUGGAGCGGAGCUUCGCGCGGAUGGACGCCGAGGCCGUGAGCUCAAGGUCAAGGGCCAGCGGAGCGCCCACCUGCCGGUGCGAGCUACAACUGCCCAAGUGCGACCACGUCGGCUCCAUGGCCGUCGUCGCCGUGGUCGGCCCUCGCCACCUCGUCGUCGCCAACUGCGGUGACAGCCGUGCGAUCAUCGGCCGCGAGGGCGCCGCCAUCCCACUCUCAUCCGACCACAAGCCGGAUCGGCCCGACGAGCUGGAGCGGAUCCAAGCGGCCGGAGGGCGCGUCAUCUUCUGGGACGGCGCCCGCGUCUUCGGCGUGCUAGCCAUGUCACGGGCCAUCAGAGACAGUUACCUGAAGCCAUUUGUGAUACCCCACAGGGCAGAAGUUUUAGUCUUGUAA